rnacentral:rRNA from 1 species
AUUGAACGCUGGCGGAAUGCUUUACACAUGCAAGUCGAACGGCAGCACGGGGCAACCUGGUGGCGAGUGGCGAACGGGUGAGUAAUACAUCGGAACGUGCCCAAUCGUGGGGGAUAACGUAGCGAAAGUUACGCUAAUACCGCAUACGAUCUACGGAUGAAAGCGGGGGAUCGCAAGACCUCGCGCGAGUGGAGCGGCCGAUGUCAGAUUAGGUAGUUGGUGGGGUAAAGGCUCACCAAGCCAACGAUCUGUAGCUGGUCUGAGAGGACGACCAGCCACACUGGAACUGAGACACGGUCCAGACUCCUACGGGAGGCAGCAGUGGGGAAUUUUGGACAAUGGGCGCAAGCCUGAUCCAGCCAUUCCGCGUGCAGGAUGAAGGCCUUCGGUUGUAACUGCUUUUGUACGGUAACGAAACGGCGAGCUCUAAUACAGUUUGCUAAUGACGGUACCGUAAGAAUAAGACACCGGCUAACUACGUGCCAGCAGCCGAC